UUAUGACUAUAGGAGGUCCCGCCUGCCCCGUGAUUUUAUAUUUAACGGCCGCGGUAUUUUAACCGUGCAAAGGUAGCGCAAUCGCUUGUCUUUUAAAUAAGGACCUGUAUGAAUGGCAUAACGAGGGCUUAACUGUCUCCCCCCUCUAAUCAAUGAAAUUGAUCUCCCCGUGAAGAAGCGGGGAUUAAAAUAUAAGACGAGAAGACCCUGUGGAGCUUUAAACACGCAAGGGGAGCACUUAACAUUUGACUUUUAAAUAGACAAAAACAUGUGUUUACCCCCUACUGUUUUUGGUUGGGGCGACCUCGGGGGAAAAUCCAGCCCCCAUGCGGAGUAAAAGCACCCGCUUUCAAAAUUAAUGAACCUCAGUUCUCUAACACAGAAAAUCUGACCACAAGAUCCGGCAAUGCCGAUCAACGAACCAAGUUACCCCAGGGAUAACAGCGCAAUCCCCUUCCAGAGCCCUUAUCACCAAGGGGGUUUACGACCUCGAUGUUGGAUCAGGACAUCCUAACGGUGCAACCGUCGUUAAGGGUUCGUUUGUUCAACGAUUAAAGUCCUACGUGAUCUGAGUUCAG
rnacentral:rRNA from 1 species